GGGUGGUAAUGCCGGAUGCUCCGACUCCUCGCAUGGGGUGUCGGGAAAGAUUUCAUCGGUAUGGGAUGGGGUCGCGUCCUAUCAGGUAGUCGGCGGGGUAACGGCCCACCGAGCCUACGACGGGUAGCCGGCCUGAGAGGGCGACCGGCCACAUUGGGACUGAGAUACGGCCCAGACUCCUACGGGAGGCAGCAGUGGGGAAUAUUGCACAAUGGGCGCAAGCCUGAUGCAGCGACGCCGCGUGCGGGAUGACGGCCUUCGGGUUGUAAACCGCUUUUGAUCGGGAGCAAGCCUUCGGGUGAGUGUACCUUUCGAAUAAGCACCGGCUAACUACGUGCCAGCAGCCGCGGUAAUACGUAGGGUGCAAGCGUUAUCCGGAAUUAUUGGGCGUAAAGGGCUCGUAGGCGGUUCGUCGCGUCCGGUGUGAAAGUCCAUCGCUUAACGGUGGAUCUGCGCCGGGUACGGGCGGGCUGGAGUGCGGUAGGGGAGACUGGAAUUCCCGGUGUAACGGUGGAAUGUGUAGAUAUCGAAAAAAAACACCA
rnacentral:rRNA from 1 species